AACUUUUGGCAACGGAUCUCUUGGCUCUCGCAACGAUGAAGAACGCAGCGAAAUGCGAUAAGUAGUGUGAAUUGCAGAAUUCAGUGAAUCAUCGAAUCUUUGAACGCACAUUGCACUUCCUGGUAUUCCGGGAAGUAUGCCUGUUUCAGAAUCAUUGAAGACUCACCCAGUUCUGUCGUUGGUCAACAACGAACGGAUCUGGGAGGAUUUGUGUUUUUGUUGUCCGAACAAUCACCUGAAAACAAUUGUAUAUAUUUCAAUUGCUUUUACCUGAUUGACUAAAGUGCAACAGAUUCAAUCUUUUCACUUGUUUUUUCAGGUUCAAAAGCGAUGGAUCCAGGUGGCUUUCUUAUAUUAGGAAACGAUUUCCCCCAGCAAGUGCGGUGUGGUGCUAGAGAACGUGAUCUGAAAUCAGGCAAGAAAACCCGCUGAACUUAAGCAUAUCAAUAAGCGGAGGCU
rnacentral:misc_RNA from 1 species